GAAGCUUGCUUCUCUUGAGAGCGGCGGACGGGAAGAGUAAUGCCUAGGAAUCUGCCUGGUAGUGGGGGAUAACGUUCGGAAACGGACGCUAAUACCGCAUACGUCCUACGGGAGAAAGCAGGGGACCUUCGGGCCUUGCGCUAUCAGAUGAGCCUAGGUCGGAUUAGCUAGUUGGUGAGGUAAUGGCUCACCAAGGCGACGAUCCGUAACUGGUCUGAGAGGAUGAUCAGUCACACUGGAACUGAGACACGGUCCAGACUCCUACGGGAGGCAGCAGUGGGGAAUAUUGGACAAUGGGCGAAAGCCUGAUCCAGCCAUGCCGCGUGUGUGAAGAAGGUCUUCGGAUUGUAAAGCACUUUAAGUUGGGAGGAAGGGCAGUUACCUAAUACGUGAUUGUUUUGACGUUACCGACA
rnacentral:rRNA from 1 species